UACGUAGGGUGCGAGCGUUAAUCGGAAUUACUGGGCGUAAAGCGUGCGCAGGCGGUUUCUUAAGUCAGAUGUGAAAGCCCCGGGCUUAACCUGGGAACUGCGUUUGAAACUGGGAGACUCGAGUGUGGCAGAGGGGGGUGGAAUUCCACGUGUAGCAGUGAAAUGCGUAGAUAUGUGGAGGAACACCGAUGGCGAAGGCAGCCCCCUGGGUUAACACUGACGCUCAUGCACGAAAGCGUGGGGAGCAAACAGG
rnacentral:rRNA from 1 species